CCCCUGUAGGUGCUGAGCCCUCCCCGCGCUGCUAGUUGCCAGCUGCUCCAGGAGGCGUGUCAGGAAGUGCAGCAAGGACACCAGUGAGACGAGGCCUAAAACAGGGGACUCCGCCCCCAAGGGCAGAGGGAGACCGGCCAAGAAACCCAAACCCAAACCUGGUGAGCCAAUCGAGACCUGUUAUUCCUGUUAGGUCUGUUAUUCCUGUUGGGUCUGUAUUCCUGUUGGGUCUCUGUUUCCCUGUUGGGUCUGGAUCCCUGUUGGGUUGUUAUCCCUGUUGGGCUGUUAUCCCUGUUGGGUUGUUAUCUCGUUGUGGUCUGUUAUCCCUGUUGGGUCUGUUAUUCCUGUUGGGUCUGUGGAUUAUGUUAUUCCUGUUAGGUCUGUGGAUUAUGUUAUCCCUGUUAGGUCUGUUAACCCUGUUAGGUCUGUGGAUUAUGUUAUUCCUGUUAGGUCUGUGGAUUAUGUUAUUCCUGUUAGUCUGUAUUCUGUUAGGUCUGUGGCGUUAUGUUAUUCCUGUUAGGUCUGUUGGAUUAU
rnacentral:lncRNA from 1 species